rnacentral:tRNA from 1 species
GCAGUGGUGGCUCAGUGGUAGAAUUCUUGCCUUCCAUGCAGGAGACCUGGGUUCAAUUCCUGGCCAAUGCA